rnacentral:tRNA from 1 species
GAAAUUUAGGUUAACACAAACCAAGGGCCUUCAAAGCCCUAAACAGAAGACACCCUUCUAAUUUMUG